rnacentral:rRNA from 1 species
AGCAGCCGCGGUAAUUCCAGCUCCAAUAGCGUAUAUUAAAGUUGUUGCAGUUAAAAAGCUCGUAGUUGAAUUUCGGGAUUUGUCAGUUGGUCGGGCUUCACUGUUCGUACUGACUUGAUGGAUUCUUACCUUCUGAAUAACCAGCAUGCUAUUAAGUUAGUGCGUUGGAGAAGCAGAUCUAUUACCUUGAAAAAAUUAGAGUGCUUAAAGCGGGCUAGUGCUUGAAUAGAUUAGCAUGGAAUAAUAAAAUAGGACGGCAUGGUUCUAUUUUGUUGGUUUCUAGGAUCACCGUA